UGAUCAUUUUGAAUUUGAUAUAAAAGAAGUAUUAGAUUUAAGAAUAAGACAUGGAAGGCUUGAAUAUUUGAUCCAUUGAUGCAGAUAUAAUAUCAACGAUCACACAUGGAAACUACUUGGGAAUCUUAUAAAUACACAAAUGAAGGUUUAAAAGUUCCAUGAAUAACAUCCAUCCAAAAUAAAAGUGGCAAAAUAGAAAACACUAACUUGAUAAGAUGGCUUCACUAUAAAGAUUCUUAAUUCUUAGCUUCGUAAAGAAUGGAAGGAGGCAAUCUUU
rnacentral:lncRNA from 1 species